UGUCUACAUCCACUUGCCACAAAAAAAAAAAUUCCGAGUUUCCAGGUACUUCUAAACACUAAAUUUUCCGAGUUUUCAGGUACUUCUAAACACUAAAUUUUGCUAACAUAAGAGGUAAGGAGGUGGUUCAUUUGCCACAGGAAGCUAUAUCAGUACCUUGGAAAGUGAUUCCUCGGAGAACACCAAAGCUCUACUUCGUUAUGAGAGAGUUAUAGAAGUGCUUGAGGAGAGUGAAUGCUCACUGCUUGAUCUUGCCACAGUGUUGGAAAUCAAAAAGAAACUCUGUGAGGCUAACUCUGUGAGCUAGAGCCAGAUAGUCUCUUGGAGAGGCUUAUCAGUUGUACAAUCGAAUUCCCACCAGCUUGUGCCAUUGUAGGAGGAAUAUUAGCACAGGAAGUGAUCAAAGCAGUAUCAGGCAAAGGAGACCCAGUAAAGAACUUCUUCUACUAUGAUGCUCAAGAUGGGAAAGGUGUGAUGGGAGACAUCUCCAACUCUUUUUUUUACCUCUUAACCAUUGAGUUCUGAACUUUCAUCUAACUCUGAUGAUCUAUGAGAAUCUAUUUGUGUCUGAAUCGUUUGUUUGCAUUUAUGUUAAUAUAAUGUGCAAUGCUUGUAGAAUGUUUGAAUAGUCAAAUUUGGAAUUUUAUAAUUCA